rnacentral:rRNA from 1 species
UACAGAGACUGCAAGCGUUAUUCGGAUUCACUGGGCGUAAAGGGUGCGCAGGCGGCCGUGUGUGUGAGGCGUGAAAGCCCGGGGCUUAACCCCGGAAUUGCACCUCAAACUACAUGGCUAGAGCAUUGGAGAGGGUAGCAGAAUUCAUGGUGUAGCAGUGAAAUGCGUAGAUAUCAUGAGGAACACCGGUGGCGAAAGCGGAUACCUGGAAGAUUCCUGACUCUGAAACACGAAAGCUAGGGGAGCAAACGGG